rnacentral:rRNA from 1 species
AUUGAACGCUGGCGGCAGGCCUAACACAUGCAAGUCGAGCGAGCGGAGGACGGGUGAGUAAUGUCUGGGAAACUGCCUGAUGGAGGGGGAUAACUACUGGAAACGGUAGCUAAUACCGCAUACCAUCAGAUGUGCCCAGAUGGGAUUAGCUGGUAGGGGUGGAAACGGCUCACCUAGGCGACGAUCCCUAGCGGGUCUGAGAGGAUGACCAGCCACAGUGGAACGUAGACACGGUCCAGACUCCUACGGGAGGCAGCAGGGGGGAAUAGUGCACAAUGGGCGCAAGCCUGAUGCAGCCAUGCCGCGUGUGUGAAGAAGGCUUUCGGGUUGUAAAGCACUUUCAGCGGGGAGGCGGUACCCGCAGAAGAAGCACCGGCUAACUCCGUGCCAGCAGCCGCGGUAAUC